GAGGAAAAGAGAGAGAGAGGGCGAGAGAGAGAGAAAACAAGAAAUAGAGUAUUGAAUAUUGUGGGAUGUCCUGCUCUAAAUUAGGUCAGGACCAAUCAAAGCUUAAAUGCUCUUUCUCUCUCUUUCUCUCUCUCUCUUUGACUC